rnacentral:rRNA from 1 species
GAUGAACGCUAGCGGCAGGCCUAACACAUGCAAGUCGAGGGGUAACAGGAGAGCUUGCUCUCGCUGACGACCGGCGCACGGGUGCGUAACGCGUAUACAAUUUACCUUAUACUGGAGGAUAGCCCGGAGAAAUCCGGAUUAAUACUCCAUAACAUUACAGAAUCGCAUGAUUCCAUAAUUAAAGUUUCGGCGGUAUAAGAUGAGUAUGCGUCCUAUUAGUUAGUUGGUAAGGUAACGGCUUACCAAGACAGCGAUAGGUAGGGGGCCUGAGAGGGUUAUCCCCCACACUGGUACUGAGACACGGACCAGACUCCUACGGGAGGCAGCAGUGAGGAAUAUUGGACAAUGGAGGCAACUCUGAUCCAGCCAUGCCGCGUGAAGGAAGAAUGUCCUACGGAUUGUAAACUUCUUUUAUUUGGGAAGAAACUUCUCUACGUGUAGAGACUGACGGUACCAAACGAAUAAGGACCGGCUAACUCCGUGCCAGCAGCCGCGGUAAUGUCGUACGAUC